AGAGGUAAGUGAACAAAGCCUCUAUGAGCAGAUGCAAGGCCCCCCCUGCUCCUAGAGGCUCAUUUGCAUAUUAUAAAAGUUAGUUUUUCUAAAUAACGGCGGCACAUAAUGACAUGGGACUAAUAUAGUUAUGUUCAGCUGACAGCACAUCGCUAAUGUCAGCCAGGUUAAUACCCAUUUCUCUGAUGACAGAAAACCUUUAAAGUUUUUAUUAGGCUUACAAAUCU